UUAUUUGGUAUAUUACGUUAUUUGUGUGUUAUUUGUUUUUGUUGAUUAAAGUAAUAAAGUGUUAUUGUAUUUUUUAUGGAUGUAAUUUAUUUAGUUAUAGUUUAGUUGUACCGUGAGGGGUAUAGAGAGGUGGAUUAAAUUAUGGGAAGUUGAUGUUAUUUAUUGUACCUUGUGUCUCAGGGUUUGUUGAAAGGGAAGAAUGUAUUUUUUAUUCUCGAUAUUGAGAGAUUUAAUGGGAUAUUUUGGUUAUUGUGGUAUUAAUAUCAAAAAUAUUUUGUUGGUGAUGAAAUGUUUUUCGUUCUCAGUGGUAUCUAGUUUUCUAUAAAAUAAAUUUAAUUUAGAUAUUAAUUUAUAGUGUAUUUAACUGUUUUUAAUUGUUUUAGUUGAUAUUAAUAUUUUAAGGGGUGAGCUUUGGAAGUAUAUUUUCAUAAAUUUUAUUUUUAUUUAAGUGAUAUGGGUUUAAUAGUAAUUAUUAUUUUAAGGAUGUUGAAGUUUAAUUUGUUUAUUGAUGUAUUUAUAUUUAUUUUGGAUUUUUUAUUAGAAUUUUUUAUUGAAUUUGUUGUUAAAAGGAAUAAUGAUAGAAUUAGUAUAUUUAAUUGUGUAUAUGUAUAAUAUAUGGUUGUUUAAUUUGAUAGAGGAACUAGGCAAAUAUUAUAUUCGCCUGUUUAUCAAAAACAUCGUUUCUUGUAUUGUUUUAGAGGUAUAGCCUGCCCACUGAAAUUUAUUGAAGGGCCGCGGUAAUUUGACCGUGCAAAGGUAGCAUAAUCAUUAGUCUUUUAAUUGAAGGCUGGAAUGAAUGGUUGGACGAGAUAUUUACUGUCUUUAUUUUUAUUGGUUGAAUUUAAUUAUUAAGUGAGAAAGCUUAAAUGUUAUUAAGGGACGAGAAGACCCUAUAGAGUUUUAUAUUUAUUUAUUUAUUUGGAGUUUGUUGUAGUGUUGUUAAUUUGAUAAGUAUUUUGUUGGGGUGAUGAUGAGAAAUAUUAAACUCUUUUUUGUUGUGAUUUAUUUAUAUGUAUAGUUUGGAUCCAUUAGUUUGUGAUAAUAAGAUGAAAUUACCUUAGGGAUAACAGCGUAAUCUUUUUUGGGAGUUCUUAUUUAUAAAGGGGGUUGCGACCUCGAUGUUGGAUUAAGAUAAAUAUUGGGUGUAGAAGCUUAAUUAAUAGGUCUGUUCGACCUUUAAAAUCUUACAUGAUCUGAGUUCAAACCGGCGUGAGCCAGGUUGGUUUCUAUCUUUAAUGUAAUUAAAUAUUUUAGUACGAAAGGACCAAAUAUUUGAAAUAAUUUUUAUUCAUUGAUUGAUAUUAAAUU
rnacentral:rRNA from 1 species